UGUAUCUGAUCCAGGAGGAAAUACCUGCACUGGCACUGUCACUAUCUAUAUCACUGAUGUCAAUGAUGAAGCUCCUGUCAUAAGUUUAUGCCCUUCGAGUCCAGUCUUGGUGGAUGAGGAAGUAAAUAUUGGCACAAAUGUCGCAUUUUUAUCAGCCUUUGACAAUGACAGCACUGACACUUUGACUUUCUCCUUCGCAAUCCCUGUAUCUGAGUUCGAUAUUAUUCAAGUUGGAAAUGAUGCAUGGAUUGUUACCAACUCCACGCUGGAUUAUGACACAGUUAGUUCCACAGAC